rnacentral:rRNA from 1 species
AACGAACGCUGGCGGCAUGCCUAACACAUGCAAGUCGAACGAGACCUUCGGGUCUAGUGGCGCACGGGUGCGUAACGCGUGGGAACCUUCCCUUAGGUUCGGAAUAACUCCCCGUAAGGGGUGCUAAUACCGGUUAAUGUCUUCGGACCAAAGAUUUAUCGCCUUUGGAUGGGCCCGCGUUGGAUUAGCUAGUUGGUAGGGUAAAAGCCUACCAAGGCGACGAUCCAUAGCUGGUCUGAGAGGAUGAUCAGCCACACUGGGACUGAGACACGGCCCAGACUCCGACGGGAGGCAGGAGUGGGGAAUAGUGGAAAAGGGGGGAAAGCCUGAUACAGCAAUGCCGCGUGAGUGAUGAAGGCAUUAGGGUAGUAAAGCGCUUUUAACCGGGAUGAUAAUGACAGUACCGGGAGAAUAAGCUCCGGCUAACUCCGUG